UACAGGGGGUGCAAACGUUGCUCGGAAUCAUUGGGCGUAAAGCGCACGUAGGCGGUUCGUUAUGUCGGAUGUGAAAGCCCUUGGCUUAACCGAGGAAGUGCAUCCGAAACUGGCGAGCUAGAGUACUAAAGAGGAUCGCGGAAUUCCCGGUGUAGAGGUGAAAUUCGUAGAUAUCGGGAGGAACACCGGUGGCGAAGGCGGCGAUCUGGGUAGAUACUGACGCUGAGGAACGAAAGCCAGGGGAGCAAACGGG
rnacentral:rRNA from 1 species